rnacentral:lncRNA from 1 species
UGUGUGUGUUCUGUUCCAGGGUUUUUGGGGGCCUGAUCUAGGGUCAGAGAACAAACAGGACACCUAGCAGCUACAUCCACAGAUUUAUUCUUGGUUUAUCAUCCGAGGUUCACAGCUCUAGAGGAGCCCAAGGCGCAUUCCAAUGCUCUGUGACUCUAUAAAUCCAGCUAGCAUGAAAUCUCAAGGAGCCGAUGCUGUGAAAAGAGCCAAUCUGCCUGUUUACACCAUCUCAUCUUACACAGAAGCCUUGGCGCCUGCCCUGCAGAAGCCCCUCCACUCACCCCCCCUCCAAAACAUGUUUGCAGAAGUGUUCAUGCUGAACAAAGUGAUUCUAUCAUCUGGGCCUACUCUUCCAUUUGUGUUGCUGCUUCUCCUGAAACCCGUUUCAAGCUGUGUCACCCCCGACUCAGGCGAAGUUUGAAAAAUGGAAGAAGGGAACCAUGCAAAGUGGACACAUUCUCCAGCCUGCCGUAAAAUAGCCGGGAGAUGGACCAUUAGCCAUUUGCUGCUGCCGACCAAGCUGCAGAUCCUGCGUCUGCACAAAGCAGAAGGUCAGGGAGAGCUGAGCACCAGAGGAAGUGGUCAUCAAACGGUGGAAGGGAUCCACCAAACAAAAUUAAAGCUGCAGGAAGCGGAGAACGCAGCCUGUAAGCCCCGCCCACCAAGUUUUCAUCAGAGCAGCUCUCGACAUCUGCUGGAGAGACGUGGAGCAUCGUUCUUCACUUAAUGUCUCACGGCUGUCGCUUCAGCGCUCGGUUAUGAUGAAGAGGAGAUUUUAAUCCUGAUGAGAUGAUUCUGGAGCCGGUCGGCUCCUCCGGGCUCCUCCGCUCCGGGUCUGAGUCCGCGUGACUCCCGCCCCGACGACCCGGCGGGUCGAUUCGCCGAUGACUCCCGGAGUGACAGGAGUGUUUGCGGAAACAAAGCGCUGCCAAAGUCAACAUUUGGGACAGGAAACGCACGAGUCACGACACGCGACCUGAGCGAAAAGGUCAAAGACUUUGUUGACACAAACACGAAGAGCGGAUUUAACAUUUUUGAUUUCAGGCAGGAGUCAGAAACAAAAACACGCCUGGAAUGAUCUGCAGACAUCAACACAGAAACAAAGUUCAGCAAAAUGUCACCAAUUUAACAUGAAUUAAAAAGGUAAAAACACAUCAAAGCAGAAGAAGGAUUUAGAGCUUUUCUCCAACUUCAAACUGGAUCAGAACACUGAAGCAACGUUCACACCGAGCGGGUCACCACAUGGACACAAGUAAUCAGAAUACACGCCUAAUCAGAAGAAGACUCUGACCCAAUCAAUCAAUAUUAGGAGAUGGAUUAUACCGAUGGUUGAUCUGAUCGCAGUGC